rnacentral:ncRNA from 1 species
AGGUUCAUUACUAUCAUGAUUAAAAAGGGAAAGCGGUGUAAUUCCGCUACUGUCCCGCAGCUGUAAGUUGUCUCUCAUUGGUAAGCUGAUACCACUGGUGAAUAUAAAACUGGGAAGGUGCUUACCUACAUUGGAUAACAAGUCAGAAGACCUGCCAUUGCAAG